GAAAGAUUUAAACUUAAGACAUGAAACUAUAUUUCCCCUGGGCCUCUCAUAGUGCCCCAUGCCAGAGCAAACUGUGGCCCUGAACCAUUGCCUGGCCUCCGUGUCCAUAGGCUGCUGGCACUGAAGUGGGUUGCACAGAG